GGAAGAUGGUGACUGUGAAGGUGAGGAAAGGGUGCUCGUCCAUGGCCGACGACGGCAGUGGUAUGCAGACGACGAAGCUAAUGGCGGCAAACACCAGCAGCCAGACCACUAGAGGAUACACGAUUCCGGGCAGGUACACCAAUACAGGGUAUACAGUUCCGGCCAGGUAGCCAGGAAGAGCAAAAAUUGUAUCCAAUGGCGUUCUCAUCACCACCACUGUGAGGAAGAUGGUGACUGUGAAGGUGAGGAAGGUGUGCCCAGGCCUGGCUGACGGCAGCGGUAUGCAGACGACGAAGCUAAUGGCGGCAAACACCAGCAGCCAGACCACUAGAGGAUACACGAUUCCGGGCAGGUAGCCAGCAAGGCUUACAAGAGUAUCUCGAGGAGUUGUCAUCACCACCGCUGUAAGGAAGAUGCUGACAGUGGAGAUGAGCAAAGGGUGCUCGUCCAUGGCCGACGACGGCAGCGGUAUGCAGACGACGAAGCUAAUGGCGGCAAACACCAGCAGCCAGACCACUAGAGGAUACACGAUUCCGGGCAGGUANNN
rnacentral:lncRNA from 1 species